rnacentral:lncRNA from 1 species
CUUGACUUGGAAAUAUAAAAGAAGGAUAAAUAUGUUUCAAGGUAUAAUUUACAUUUUACUUAUGAUUCUGCUUUGAUUUUAAAAUAAAUUAGUGAUUAGAACUUCCCAUCCUCAUGCAGCUACAUAUUUAUUACAAAUUCCUUGAGUGACUUUCAGAUCAUGGGCUCCCAAGACUAAAGUCUUGAUGGUUUGAGAAUUUUAUGUGGAGAAGAAUGCUACAAGAAUGUAUAUGGUAAAGGCAAACCACUUAAAUAUGUCCUGGGUUGUGCAAUGGAAUUCAGCAUCACUGUGAGUAAAUACUACAUUUUGUGCUUUUACUCAGGACUACACUCCCUGCUGCCUCCUGCAAUCACCAGUAUACAGAGUGGAAGAUCUCUUUAUUACUGCAGGGCCAGAAUGAAGGCUUUCAGGGUUCGUGAGAAAAAGACUUCUUCUCCACUUCUCAAGUGAAAUUCAAAGGAUCCUGUUAAGGCCUUAGAGAAUGACAGAGCCACUAAUUCCAAGGAGUCGG